rnacentral:lncRNA from 1 species
AAAGUAAAUGUAUGUCUAUGCCUUGUUCUAUAUAAAUGUUUCUAACAUGCAGGUAACAUUUACAUAUGUAUUAGUUUGAAUAAAUCAUUUUAAUAAAGUUACAUUUUAGGCAGGAAUGUUUGACUGGAAAUAUAAACGAUGUUGUACAUAAUGCAGAUUGCUUAGGCAAAAAAGAGAUUGGUGAAAUGGAGAAUGAGACUAACUAGGGU